AGCAGCCGCCGCGGUAAUACGUAGGGUGCGAGCGUUAAUCGGAAUUACUGGGCGUAAAGCGUGCGCAGGCGGUUUUGUAAGACAGGCGUGAAAUCCCCGGGCUCAACCUGGGAAUGGCGCUUGUGACUGCAAAGCUAGAGUGCGGCAGAGGGGGAUGGAAUUCCGCGUGUAGCAGAGAAAUGCGUAGAUAUGCGGAGGAACACCGAUGGCGAAGGCAAUCCCCUGGGCCUGCACUGACGCUCAUGCACGAAAGCGUGGGGAGCAAACAGGAUUAGAGACCCCAGUAGUCCCUGUCUCUUAUAC
rnacentral:rRNA from 1 species